rnacentral:rRNA from 1 species
AAUAGCGUAUAUGUAUGUUGUUGCGGUUGAAAAGCUCGUAGUUGGACUUCUGGCGGCCCAGACCGGUCCGCCCUGUGCGAGCACUGGUCAGGGCCGUCGUUCUGUCGACGGUGCGCGUUGGUCUUAACUGCCUGGCGCGCUCUCUGUCGGCGAUGUUACUUUGAGGAAAUCAGAGUGCUCAAAGCAAGCGUUCGCUCGUGACUUCACUAGCAUGGAAUAACACAGAUGGGCUCUUUUUCGCAACGUUGGUCUGCGUCAAUUGAGCAACGAUCGAUAGAGACGGUCGGGGGCAUUCGUAUUGCGCAGUUAGAGGUGAAAUUCUCCGAUCUGCGCAAGACGCACUAAUGCGAAAGCAGUUGCCAAGGACGUCCUCUUAUGAUCAAGAGCGAAAGUCGGGGGAUCAAAGAUGAUUAGAUACCGUCGUAGUCCCGACCAUAAAUGAUGCCGACUGAGCGUCGGCGACUCGGCUCUUAGCCGGACGUCGGCGCUCUUAGAGAAAUUAAAGUCUAUGGGCUCCGGGGGUAGUAUGGUCGCAAGUCUGAAACUUGAAGGAAUUGACGGAAGGGCACCACAAGGCGUGGAUGUUGCGGCUUAAUUUGACUCAACACGGGAAAGCUUACUAGGUUUGGACACUUGAAUGAGGGACAUAUUGAAGCUCUUACCUUUUUUUGUGGAUGGUGGUGCAUGGUCGUUCUCAGCCCGUGGGUUGACCUGUCAGGUUUACUCCGGUAACGCGCGAGACCUCGGUUUGCUAAAUAGACGCGGCUGUUUCGGCACCCGCGCUCUUCUUAGAGAAAGACUCGGCGAGAGUCGAGGGAAGUCGAGGCAAUAACAGAUCUGUGAUGCCCUUAGUUAUCCUAGGUCGCACGCGCCAUACAAUGUGGCGCACAACGAGUCUCCUUGGCCGACAGGAGCUGGGCAAUCUGGCARAGCGCUACGUGACUGGGCUAGACUUUUGUAAUUGUUGGUCUUGAACGAGGAAUGCCUAGUAAUCGCAGGUCAUCAUCCUGAGAUGAUUCGGUCCCUGCCCUUUGUACACACCGCCCGUCGCUCCAUCCGUGGCAUGCGCCGGUGAAGAGGGGGAGGCAGCGUCG